rnacentral:rRNA from 1 species
GAUGAACGCUGGCGGCGUGCCUAAUACAUGCAAGUCGAGCGAACGGACGCGAAGCUUGUUGCUCGGUUGUUAGCGGCGGACGGGUGUGUAACACGUGGAUAACCUACCUAUAAGACUGGGAAAACUUCGGGAAACCGGAGCUUAUCGCGUAUAAUCUUUUGAUCCGCAUGGUGGAAAGGUGAGAGACGGUCGUGCGGGAUGUAAUAGAUGGAUAUGCGCUGCAUGAGCUGGUUGGUAAGGUAACGGCUUACGAAGGGAACGAUGCAUAGCCGAGUUGAGAGACUGAUCGGCCACCUGAGAGCGGAACCACGGUCCAGACUACUGCGAGAGGCAGCAGUAGGGUAUCUUCCGCAGUAGUCGAGAGUCUUACGGAGCAACGGCGAGUGAGUGAUGAAGAUCUUCGGUUCGUAAAACUCUGUUAUUAGGGAAGAACAUAUGUGUAAGUAGCUGUGCACAUCGUGACGGUACCUAAUCAGAAAGCCACGGCUAACUACGUG